GUCCCUGUAGCGCAAUGAAUAACCGCGCGCGCGUUGGACUUCUAAUCCAAAGGUCGUGGAUUCAAACCCCACCUGAAAUG